rnacentral:piRNA from 1 species
UGUAAGGUUGUGCGAAUGCUUUUUCACUU